UUAUGUUCGAUAUUCAAACGGUCAUGUGAGAUUCGUUUUUUAUUACUGCAUAAGUUCAACUGUUCCUACUUGAUUUUUCAAAAUUCUCGAGUAUUUGGUGUAAUAUGAGAUUCAUAUGAAAGGUAUUUUCUUCUAUUGUAUGAAAGAAACUCAUAUGAGAAUCUUUUGAGUACUUAAAGUAAUAUGAAAUUCAUCUUAAAGAUGUGCUUUGUGAUAUCAUGUAUUCGUAUCCAAGAUUUGAUGCUUCAUCUGCUUCUUUAGUUUAGUAAGAAUUAUUUCAUGCUAUUGCAUGAAACAUUUGACUGGUCUCCUACUGCUCUACGCUAGCUCGAAAGGUAUGGCUACUCUCUUCUUUCCUGCUGAACAUCAUCAAGAAUUUCCCCCUUCUUCUGCUUCACCCGGAAGAUUCUCAAUACAGGCUUAACAACCAUCCCUGCUUACAUUUUAAGAAAAGUUUAAUAGUGACCGUCAAGCUUCACUAAUAGAUAUGGUUCUCCUAUAAGGAGCAUGCUUGCCCUAUGUUUAUUGGUGUGCUAAGUCAUGUAACUUAAUGUUGAAACUUAGCGUACAAGAUAUAGCUUAAAUCUCAUAAAUUUAAUAGGCAGAGCAUAUUAGUCACUUGAUAUAAUUCAACGUUCCUGAAUCAAUUUUAUAUUUCUCAGUGAUUAUUUUUUAUACAGAUGACUUCAAGCUAACAUGAUUACUGAUUUCUCUCUAGGUUGAUGAUAAUCCUUCUUUGACAAAUGCUUCCAAGAUGUAGCAUCUAUUAUUGCGAGAGUUGGUCUUGGGGCUCACUGCAUUAGCAUAGGAAGUGUCCGACAUGUUUGAGCAAGCUGUUGGCAGAAAAUACACUGCGAGGAUAUUACUAACAUUGAAGAGUUCUCUCGCCAUUUUGGAGCUGUUGAUUUGAGGUAAAAAGAUGGACAGAAAAGGUGCUUAUGGCUGAAAUGAGAUAGGUUACUAUUAAAAAAAAUUACAGCCUACAAAUUUCUAUGUCUAUUAAUUAGUUUAGAAUUGUAUCUAUGUCUCAGGAUACCUGAUAAAGAGAGAACACUAACAGAGGCUUGAGCACUUACCAUCUGAUCUGAUCCUACUAAGCAAAAGUAAUCACUUGGAAUAUUUAGAACUGGCAAGAAGAAGACGCACUUCUUAUUCUCAUAUUUACGCGUGACAUUGUUACUCAACAAGAAAUACUUGAAAAUUGUAGUUAAUAGAUGGUGCUAUCAUAUUAGAAAGUAUUUGUUUUGUAAUCUAUAGCAAGAAAAUCAUCUGAGUUCAGUAAGUAAGGGGGAUUUGCCAAAGUGUCCUCUCUUUUAUGUAAGGCAUCAUUUUUCUUCCUGAUUUUACAGAUGAACUUACAAAAGGGAAGAGAUUUUCAGUUCUUGGUUUCCAUGGAGAACUUUUCCAUCAUAAUUUAAUUUUGACUAUGCCUAUUUAAGCUUCUUCUAGAAUUGCUAUGUUUUAUUUUCAAAUUGGAUUUUAACAUGCAUGAUUCCAAAAAAAAAUAAUGUGCAGGUACUGGUCACGUUUGUUAUGGCAUUUUGGUUGCUGAUCGUAAUGGUUGCAUGGCUACUAUGACCAACUUGAAGAGAAUUACCACAUGAACAUAUGUUGUUGAGAUUUGUGUAAUACACAAAGCAAAUGCUUUUGCUUUCUCACAUAUAUGCAAUAUUAUCAACUUCUUCAUUGCAAUGACAUUGUACCACCCACUCACUAAUGUGAGAAAAUGUCUCUUAUAUAUUAUCCUAUUUUUUGUGAAAAUGAUACUCCUUUCAUGU
rnacentral:lncRNA from 1 species